rnacentral:lncRNA from 1 species
CACCAGGAGCUCUUGUAUUAGAAAUCAUAGACAAUAGGACAUUGUCUCUGAUGCAACUUGAACGCUUAGUCAGUUUACCAUCGCUAGCUUUGAUUCAGUAGCAAAUAACAUUUGAGAUUCUAUAUAGUUUUGACUCUUGGACUCAUCGCAUUUAUGAAUAAAUUUAUCUAAGAAACUAAUUGUAAUUGUAUUGGUGUUUAAUGAUGCUUGUCCAUCCAUGAUCUCUCAAAAUUAUGUUUUUACAAUCAUGCUUGUUGAUGCAAUG